rnacentral:rRNA from 1 species
AACGAACGCUAUCGGUAUGCUUAACACAUGCAAGUCGGACGGACUAAUUAGGGCUUGCUCCAAUUAGUUAGUGGCAGACGGGUGAGUAACACGUGGGAAUCUGCCCAUCAGUACGGAAUAACUUUUAGAAAUAAAAGCUAAUACCGUAUAUUCUCUACAGAGGAAAGAUUUAUCGCUGAUGGAUGAGCCCGCGUCAGAUUAGGUAGUUGGUGAGGUAACGGCUCACCAAGCCGACGAUCUGUAGCUGGUCUGAGAGGAUGAUCAGCCACACUGGGACUGAGACACGGCCCAGACUCCUACGGGAGGCAGCAGUGGGGAAUAUUGGACAAUGGGCGAAAGCCUGAUCCAGCAAGACCGAGUGAGUGAUAAAGGCCCUAGGGUUGUAAAGCUCUUUUAGCAAGGAAGAUAAUGACGUUACUUGCAGAAAAAGCCCCGGCUAACUCCGUG